UGGGGAAUAUUGGACAAUGGGGGCAACCCUGAUCCAGCCAUGCCGCGUGUGUGAAGAAGGCCUUCGGGUUGUAAAGCACUUUAAGUGGGGAGGAAGGGGUGAUUCCUAAUACGAAUCAUCAUUGACGCUACCCACAGAAUAAGCACCGGCUAACUCUGUGCCAGCAGCCGCGGUAAUACAGAGGGUGCAAGCGUUAAUCGGAAUUACUGGGCGUAAAGCGCGCGUAGGCGGCUGCCUAAGUCGGAUGUGAAAGCCCCGGGCUCAACCUGGGAACUGCAUUCGAUACUGGGCGGCUAGAGUAUGAGAGAGGGAGGUAGAAUUCCACGUGUAGCGGUGAAAUGCGUAGAUAUGUGGAGGAAUACCGGUGGCGAAGGCGGCCUCCUGGUUCAAUACUGACGCUGAGGUGCGAAAGCGUGGGGAGCAAA
rnacentral:rRNA from 1 species